CUUUUUUUUUUAUUUUAUUUUUAGAUACACCAUAAUUAUUCCUCUAAAAGAAAAUUACCAACUUCGAUUCUCUGGACAAAGAAGAAGAAGAUAAGAAGAUAGUUUCAUGCAUGCAUAAAUCAAUAUUGAGAGAUGAUUCCCAAAACCAAAGGAAAAGCUGGAAAUGAGGAUUGAUGUCCGAUGCUUGGAGAUGGGUUGUUUUUACAGACACAACUUCAAAUUCCUCCCUUCUAUUCACACAAACAACAUGGCUCCGGAUUCCAGGACCGAACCGC
rnacentral:misc_RNA from 1 species